rnacentral:rRNA from 1 species
AGUGAACGCUGGCGGUAGGCCUAACACAUGCAAGUCGAACGGCAGCACAGUAAGAGCUUGCUCUUACGGGUGGCGAGUGGCGGACGGGUGAGGAAUACAUCGGAAUCUACUUUUUCGCGGGGGAUAACGUAGGGAAACUUACGCUAAUACCGCAUACGACCUACGGGUGAAAGCAGGGGAUCUUCGGACCUUGCGCGAUUGAAUGAGCCGAUGUCGGAUUAGCUAGUUGGCGGGGUAAAGGCCCACCAAGGCGACGAUCCGUAGCUGGUCUGAGAGGAUGAUCAGCCACACUGGAACUGAGACACGGUCCAGACUCCUACGGGAGGCAGCAGGGGGGAAUAUUGGACAAUGGGCGCAAGCCUGAUCCAGCCAUACCGCGUGGGUGAAGAAGGCCUUCGGGUUGUAAAGCCCUUUUGUUGGGAAAGAAAAGCAGCAGGUUAAUACCCCGCUGUUCUGACGGUACCCAAAAAAUAAGCACCGGCUAACUUCGUG